rnacentral:rRNA from 1 species
UACGUAGGGCGCAAGCGUUGUCCGGAAUUAUUGGGCGUAAAGAGCUCGUAGGCGGUCUGUCGCGUCGAAUGUGAAAACCCGGGACUCAACUCCGGGCCUGCAUUCGAUACGGGCAGGCUGGAGUUCGGUAGGGGAGACUGGAAUUCCUGGUGUAGCGGUGAAAUGCGCAGAUAUCAGGAGGAACACCGGUGGCGAAGGCGGGUCUCUGGGCCGAUACUGACGCUGAGGAGCGAAAGCGUGGGGAGCGAACAGG